GCGUAGAUUAAUAACAGCCAACGUUCACUAGAAUCAAAAUGUUAAAAAAGUGGCGAACAGUAAGUAACGCCUAGGAAAUGCGAAAAGUUCGAGCCAAAACUAAAGAACCAAAGCGCUAUUUAAUAAACUGUAUAUGUAAAUGGGGUAAAGGCUGCCAAGCCAAUCAUGCUGACCUGUAUUUGCAGAUAAACAACCAAACUGGGACUAAGACAGAACAGGACAACCAAGGGAGGCAGAAGUGCCGAAAGCCCGAUCCAGCAUACCGCCUCAGUGAAAAAGGACAAUGCAGCUUUAAUCUCCUUCACCGAGUGCCAUCAUAACAACAAUCAAAGAAGAGCACAUAACCGAGACAGAACGAAAUAAGAGGCGUGUGUUUCAUCAAAAUAACUCGGCAUAAAGCGCACGUAAGCGGUAUCGGGUUGAAAGUGAAAGUCGCCAAAAAAUGGCGGAAUGCUAUCGAAACCAAUUCACUUGAGUGAGACAGAGGAGAGUGGAAUUUCAUGUGUAGGGGUGAAAUCCGUAGAUCUAUGAAGGAACACCAAAAGCGAAGGUAGCUCUCUAGGUCCCUACCGACGCUGGGGUGCGAAAGCAUGGGGAGCAAACAACAUUAGAUACCCUUGUAGUCCAGGCCGUAAACAAUGAGUGUUUGCCCUUGGUCUACGCGGAUCAGGGGCCCAGCUAACGCGUGAAACACUCCUCCUGGGGAGUACGGUCGCAAGACCGAAACUCAAAGGAAUUGACGGGGCCCUGCACCAGCGGUGGAGCAUGUGGUUUAAUUUGAUACAACAUGCAAAACCUUACCAGCCCUUGACAUAUGAACAACAAAACCUGUCCUUAACAGGAUGGUACUGACUUUCAUACAGGUGUUGCAUGGCUGUCGUCAGCUCGUGUCAUGAGAUGUUUGGUCAAGUCCUAUAACGAGCGAAACCCUCGUUUUGUGUUGCUGAGACAUGCGCCUAAGGAGAAAUUGCCACCGAGUGACGUGCCAGCCCUACUACUUGAUUGAGUGCCAGCACGUAGCUGUGCUUUCAGCAAGAAUUUCACCAUUAGGAGCCGGUGCCUUCCGAAGCACUUUCACGUGUGACGAACUAGUUUCCGACACACGGAGACCUACCGAUAGUGCGUCAAAUACCAGUGAGCUAGAAUGGGAACCCCUUGACACGUCGACUUAAGGAAAGCUUCUCCAGAAAUGCCCAAC
rnacentral:rRNA from 1 species